CGCAAGGGUGACGAAGCGACGCCGCGUGCGGGAAGAAGGCCUUCGGGUUGUAAACCGCUGUCGGGAGUUAAGAAGUGCAGGGAUGUUAAUAGCAUCCUUGCUUGACUAAGGCUCCGGAGGAAGCCACGGCUAACUCUGUGCCAGCAGCCGCGGUAAUACAGAGGCGGCAAGCGUUGUUCGGAAUUAUUGGGCGUAAAGAGCACGUAGGCGGCCGUGUAAGUCGGUUGUGAAAGCCUUCCGCUCAACGGAAGGACGGCAUCCGAUACUGCAUGGCUCGAGUGCGGGAGGGGAGAGUGGAACUUC
rnacentral:rRNA from 1 species